UACGUAGGGGGCAAGCGUUAUCCGGAUUUACUGGGUGUAAAGGGAGCGUAGACAGCAGGGCAAGUCUGAUGUGAAAGGUCGGGGCCCAACCCCGGGACUGCAUUGGAAACUGUCCGGCUGGAGUACAGGAGAGGUAAGUGGAGUUCCUAGUGUAGCGGUGAAAUGCGUAGAUAUUAGGAGGAACACCAGUGGCGAAGGCGGCUUACUGGACUGUAACUGACGUUGAGGCUCGAAAGCGUGGGGAGCAAACAGG
rnacentral:rRNA from 1 species